UUAGAAUGUUAAUAUUAAAACUAAAGUAGUAUUAGUUAUGUUCUUUAAAUUUAAAGAUUUUGGCGGUAUUUUAGUCUAUUCAGAGGAACCUGUUCUGUAAUUGAUAGUCCACGAUUAACUUUACUUGAAUUUAAAAGUUUGUAUAUCGUUGUUUAUAGAAAAUUUUUUAAGAAAAAUAAUUUUUAAUAAAUUUAAUUAAAUUAUAAAUCAAAUCAAGGUGCAGUUUAUAUUUAAGAAGAAAUGGGUUACAAUAAAAUUAUUUAAAUGGAUUUAAAUUUUAACAUAUUUAAUGAAGGAGGAUUUGAUAGUAAUUUUAUUUAGUUAAAUAAAAUGAUUAUAGCUCUAGAAUAUGU
rnacentral:rRNA from 1 species